ACAAGCAAAAAGAUAAAAAAGAAUAUGACUAAAACUCUCAAAUUUGUCUAUAGUAUCAUUUUAUUUAUUACCCUAUUUCUUGUUGCAAAGAACGUUGACGCAUUGAAAAAAUGUAUAACAUUUGAAGAUUGUCCAAUAAGUAAGACUCGCGUAUAUAAGUGCCUUCACGGAGAAUGUAGAUAUACCAUACCGUAUAUACCAAAAGUACCAAAAGUAAAAUAAUCAAGAGAGAACCAUUAAGCCAUUAUGAGAAGAAUAAGUUUUUACAUUAGUAAAAAAUCUAUGGAAUAUAUCUUUGCUAGAAUAUUCCAAAGUUGUUAUCUAGUUAUGGUGCUAGCGUUAAAUAAUUGUAUUUUUUUAAUAUUCUUUUUAUAAUUUCAUUGACCUAUCAAUUAUCGCUUUCCACAAUAAUAUGUUGGCAAUGAAAUUUAAACAAAGUGUAACACCCUCUAUUUUAAACAAUCAGAGUAUGUCUUUUAUUAAAACAACUAACACUUACAGUUAAAAUAGUCAUAAUCGUCCUAUGAUUAAAAUCUAUCUAUUUAAAACCUUUUAUAAAAAUGACGAUCAGAGACAAUCCACCUUUAUAAAAAAAAUCAUCACAUCUAACUUACUCACAAAAUCAAACACCCAAAAUAGGUAAACCUUGAGAUAUAUUUCGACAAUAAAAGUAGAAGGUAUUGCAUAGUGAAGUGAUUAGUGAUGAUACAACUUAGUUAUAGAGAUAACUUGCUCUCCAAGUUAUCUAGUCAGUGACUGUAUUGGAAUGAAUGUUAGAAUACAGUCAGUGCAUGAUAGUUGCAGUAGUCCCUUUGUUCUCUAUAUAAGAUGUAACCUUGCUUCAUUUACACUUAAUGAGAAUAAUUCAUUCAUUUUUGUU